GUGGGGAAUUUUGGACAAUGGGCGCAAGCCUGAUCCAGCAAUGCCGCGUGCAGGAAGAAGGCCUUCGGGUUGUAAACUGCUUUUGUACGGAACGAAACGGUCCUGGUUAAUACCCGGGGCUAAUGACGGUACCGUAAGAAUAAGCACCGGCUAACUACGUGCCAGCAGCCGCGGUAAUACGUAGGGUGCAAGCGUUAAUCGGAAUUACUGGGCGUAAAGCGUGCGCAGGCGGUGCUGUAAGACAGGCGUGAAAACCCCGGGCUUAACCUGGGAAUUGCGCUUGUGACUGCAGUGCUGGAGUGCGGCAGAGGGGGAUGGAAUUCCGCGUGUAGCAGUGAAAUGCGUAGAUAUGCGGAGGAACACCGAUGGCGAAGGCAAUCCCCUGGGCCUGCACUGACGCUCAUGCACGAAAGCGUGGGGAGCAAACAGGAUUAGAAACCCCAGUAGUCC
rnacentral:rRNA from 1 species